rnacentral:rRNA from 1 species
UACGUAGGGGGCAAGCGUUGUCCGGAAUCAUUGGGCGUAAAGAGCGUGUAGGCGGCUUGGUAAGUCCGCUGUGAAAGUCCAGGGCUCAACCCUGGAAAGCCGGUGGAAACUGUCAAGCUUGAGUCCGGAAGAGGCGAGUGGAAUUCCUGGUGUAGCGGUGAAAUGCGCAGAUAUCAGGAGGAACACCAAUGGCGAAGGCAGCUCGCUGGGACGGUACUGACGCUGAGACGCGAAAGCGUGGGGGGCAAACAGG